rnacentral:rRNA from 1 species
UUCGGUGGCAAUAGCGAAGAGGUCACACCCGUUCCCAUUCCGAACACGGAAGUUAAGCUCUUCAGCGCCGAUGGUACUGCGUGGGUGACUGCGUGGGAGAGUAGGACGCCGCCGGAU